UGCCCUUUGUCCCCGGCUCUGGGUCACUUCCUGAAGCGCCCAACCACACUGGGCUGAAACAGUUUCCUGCUUCUUCCUCCUUUGUACAAAGACCAAACAGUUCUCCUGAAGGCAAAUGCAAAGCACCAGAGCCCAGAGCCCUCCCUCUGUGCACUCCAAACCAGCACAGAUUGCAAUGAAGAACGGAGAGAAAACGUGUCGUACCACACAGGACAGGUAGAGAAAGCUCUGAGAUGCCCGUGCAGUCCAUGGAGGGAGUGUGGUGCUGGCUGCCCUUCAGCAUCCCAAACAGCAGCACCUGCACAGACGGCUUCCCAAGGCAGUUGGGCUGAUUGCAUUGCAGCAGCAGGGCCUUGAGGGGACAGAGGACACAGCAAAAGCCACUCUCCAUGGCUGGGUACAGGGGCUGCUCUCCCAGGAGCACCCCGGCAGCAUCCAACCACAUCUCCCAACCACACCUCACUGCUAGUAGCAGAGCAGCUCUCCCUCAGAAGGAGAUCAGAUGCAACCUUCAAAUCCCUUCUUUAAUCAAAUGUUUCUCUAAAUAAAGCCUGAACCCAAAAAAAUCCAU